AUAAACAUUUUAAUAUUCUAGCUUUCGACUAAAUUCAGUCAUCAACAUCAUUCUUGAUGAUGACUGAAUCUUAGUCGAAAGCUAGAAUAUUAAAAUGUUUA